AGUGAACGCUGGCGGUAGGCCUAACACAUGCAAGUCGAACGGCAGCACAGUAAGAGCUUGCUCUUACGGGUGGCGAGUGGCGGACGGGUGAGGAAUACAUCGGAAUCUACUUUUUCGUGGGGGAUCACGUAGGGAAACUUACGCUCAUACCGCAUACGACCUAUGGGUGAAAGCAGGGGAUCUUCGGACCUUGUGCGGUUUAAUGAGCCGAAGGCGGAUUAGCUAGUUGGCGGGGUAAAGGCCCACCAACGCGACGAUCCGUAGCUGGUCUGAGAGGAUGAGCAGCCACACUGGAACUGAGACACGGUCCAGACUACUACGGGAGGCAGCAUUGGGGAAUAUUGGACUAUGGGCGCAAGCCUGACCCAGCCAUACCGCGUGGGUGAAAGAAGCCUUCGGUUUGUAAAGCCCUUUUUUUGGGAAAGAAAAGCAGCAGGUUAAUACCACGCUGUUCUGACGGUACCCAAAGAAUAAGCACCGGCUAACUUCGUG
rnacentral:rRNA from 1 species